CGAAGGAUCCAAGCGUUGUCCGGAUUUACUGGGUUUAAAGGGUGCGUAGGCGGACUUUUAAGUCAGUGGUGAAAGCCUGUAGCUUAACUAUAGAAUUGCCAUUGAAACUGAAAGUCUCGAGUGUGGUUGAGGUAACUGGAAUAUAUCAUGUAGCGGUGAAAUGCUUAGAUAUGAUAUAGAACACCAAUUGCGAGGGCAGGUUACUGAGCCAUUACUGACGCUGAGGCACGAAAGCGUGGGGAUCAAACAGGAUUAGAUACCCUGGUAGUCCACGCCGUAAACGUUGCAUACUCGAUCUUAGCGAUACACAGUUAGGAUCCAAGCGAAAGCGUUAAGUAUGCCACCUGGGAAGUACGAUCGCAAGAUUG
rnacentral:rRNA from 1 species